GACGAACGCUGGCGGCGUGCUUAACACAUGCAAGUCGAACGGAAAGGCCCGGCUUUUGUGGGGUGCUCGAGUGGCGAACGGGGGAGAAACACGUGAGUAACCUGCCCUUGACUUUGGGAUAACUUCAGGAAACUGGGGCUAAUACCGGAUAGGAGCUCCUGAUGCAUGGGGGGGGUUGGAAAGUUUCGGCGGUGGGGGAUGGACUCGCGGCUUAUCAGCUUGUUGGGGGGGUAGUGGCUUACCACGGCUUCGACGGGUAGCCGGCCUGGGAGCGUGGCCGGCCACCAUGGUCCUGCGAUACGGCCCAGACUCCUACCGGAGGCAGCAGUGGGAAGUAUUGCACAAUGGGCGGAAGCCUGAUGCAGCAACGCCGCGUGCGGGAUGACGUCCUUCGGGUUGUAAACCGCUUUCGCCUGUGACGAAGCGUUCGUGACGGUACUUGGUCAAGAAGCACCGGCUAACUACGUG
rnacentral:rRNA from 1 species